UAAAAUUCUAUUAAUUACAACCAAACAAAUCUCUAUCCUUCGUCUCUGUUACAACUCUUUUAUCUUGCUCCAUCUUCUACUCCUUAUAGCUUCUAAGUAGAUAUUAUUUCCCAUCUAUUACUUCAAUAAGCUCACCCACUUCUUUUCUCAAACAUCUCUACUAUUUCUCCAUCCUUUGAUCCCUUUUCUCAAACAUCUCUACAUCAAAUACCUUAAGAUGUUAUUUUACAAUAGUAUACAAUAUAUAUAUUUUUUUUUUGAAUCCAUAAUGGGUACAGAAGGUGCAGUUAACAACAAUAAAAAAACGAUAAACCAAACGGUUAACAAUUAAUUGUUAUCUAGGUUAAACGUAGACAAAAUAUCAUAGGAUUACAUCCAAAAAAAUAACCUAACCAAUAGUUUCAUAGGUUAUAAAAUC